UACGGGGGGGGCAAGCGUUGUUCGGAAUUACUGGGCGUAAAGCGCACGUAGGCGGAUUGUUAAGUCGGGGGUGAAAUCCUGGAGCUCAACUCCAGAACUGCCUUCGAUACUGGCGGCCUUGAGUCCGGGAGAGGUGAGUGGAACUCCGAGUGUAGAGGUGAAAUUCGUAGAUAUUCGGAAGAACACCAGUGGCGAAGGCGGCUCACUGGCCCGGUACUGACGCUGAGGUGCGAAAGCGUGGGGAGCAAACAGG
rnacentral:rRNA from 1 species